UUCUUUUCCUUUUCUAUUCUUUCUCUCUCCAUUCUUCCUCCUUCCACUCUUUGCGUACUAGUAAUCCCCCUUCAAUACCAUCCAUCAGCAUUCAUAUUUUCACAAUUUUUCUUUCAAUUCCCAAAAGCAUAAACAAAAAAAAUAAAUUGAAAAUCAAAGCAAUAAGAACACGCGUUCUUUACUUCCAAUUCCCAAUUCUUCUUCUGCCCUAGAUUUUACCCCCUUUAUUAUUGCACUCCACCACCACUGUGCAUCGAUCAAUCGUUGGUUCUUGAAUUUCCCUUGUGGUUAGGUUUCCUCGAUGGAGUCGGAGGAUGAUAUGCCCGACGCCAACGACAUCGAGUCCCUCGACGACGAUUUCUACAGUGGCGAGACCGAGGACGCUCCCUUGGACUACUACAGCGACUACGACGCCGACGAUUACUUCGACGACGCCGAGAGGAUCGAGUCUCGCCGCCCUGAGCAAAAUUUUACCAUAUUGAAGGAAUCCGAUAUACGACUAAGACAGGAAGAUGACGUCACUAGAGUAGCAACGGUUCUUUCCAUAUCAAGGGUUUUUGCAAGCAUACUACUCCGUCACCACAAUUGGAGCGUCAGUAGAGUGCACGAUGCAUGGUUUGCUGAUGAAGAACGAGUCCGAAAAGCAGUUGGUUUGUUGGAGAAGCCAAUUGUCCAGCAUCCUAAUACUAGAGAGCUUACUUGCGGUAUCUGUUUUGAAAAUUAUCCUCGUGCUAGGAUUGAAAUGGCUUCCUGUGGGCAUCCCUAUUGUAUCUCAUGUUGGGAAGGCUAUAUCAGCACAUCCAUUAAUGAUGGUCCUGGAUGUUUGAUGUUGAGAUGUCCUGAUCCCACUUGUGAUGCUGCUAUUGGUCAAGAUAUGAUUAAUCUUCUAGUGUCGGAUGAAGAUAAGCAGAAAUAUGCACGUUACCUACUUAGAUCUUAUAUUGAAGACAAUAAGAAGUCCAAGUGGUGUCCUGCUCCAGGUUGUGAAUAUGCAGUUACUUUUGAUGCUGGUAGUACUGGAAAUUAUGAUGUCUCUUGCCUCUGUUCAUAUGGCUUUUGUUGGAAUUGCACUGAGGAGGCUCAUCGCCCAGUGGACUGUGGCAAAGUGGAUUUUGAAGAACAGUGCAGAGUCUGAAAACAUGAACUGGAUACUUGCUAACUCAAAGCCAUGUCCCAAGUGUAAGCGACCAAUUGAAAAAAAUCAUGGGUGCAUGCACAUGACAUGCACUCCACCCUGUAAAUUUGAAUUUUGCUGGCUAUGCGUUGGUGCAUGGUCAGACCAUGGUGAAAGAACUGGUGGUUUUUAUGCUUGCAAUCGUUAUGAAGCAGCUAAACAAGAAGGAGUGUAUGAUGAUACUGAAAGAAGAAGGGAAAUGGCAAAGAAUUCGCUGGAGAGAUACACACAUUAUUAUGAGCGGUGGGCCAGCAAUCAAUCUUCAAGGCAAAAAGCUCUUGCAGAUCUACAGCAGAUGCAAACUGUUCAUAUUGAGAAGCUUAGUGACAUACAGUGUCAGCCUGAGUCACAGCUUAAGUUCAUAACUGAAGCCUGGCUACAAAUAAUUGAGUGUAGAAGAGUGCUGAAAUGGACAUAUGCAUAUGGGUUCUAUUUGCCGGAGCAUGAGCAUGCAAAAAAGCAGUUCUUUGAGUACUUACAAGGUGAAGCAGAAUCUGGUCUGGAGAGACUUCAUCAAUGCGCGGAAAAGGAACUACAGCCAUUCUUAAGUGCUGAUGAUUCAUCUAGAGAAUUCAAUGACUUUCGUACAAAGCUAGCUGGAUUGACUAGUGUGACUAGAAACUACUUUGAGAAUUUAGUAAGGGCAUUAGAGAAUGGUCUAUCUGAUGUGGGUAGUAAUGGAGCUGCCUUCAGCAAAGCAACGAGCUCAAAAAAUGCUGCUGGGAGCAGUAAGGGGAGAUCUGGAAGAGGAAAGGGAACUUUUCGAAGCAGCACGCCCAGCAAAAUGAAUGAUGAUAGUCAUUGGUGUUGCGAGCAUUGUACCUAUGCAAAUGCCAAAUCUGCCUCCACAUGCCAGAUGUGCUAUCAACAGCGGCGAUGAAAACUUGGUUCUCCAUUUGAAGCACUUGUCUCCUGCCGAAGGCCUUUGCACCAAAAGCUGAGAUGGAGACAAGAUAUAUUAUGCAGUCUCCAAUUUUGUGAUGCUAAAUACAAUAGGAUGAAAGGAGUAAGGCUUGGAAGAAAGGUUGCUCUCCAUGCGCUCCUAUUCAAUACACAACCCAAUUUGAUGUAUAUAGUGUUUUAUCUUUUUACGUAUGAGGUUUUCUACUACAGGCAUUUGUAACUCAAUACCAUAACACAACAGAUGCUGGAUAAUGGAGAUGAACACAAAUGUUCUUGUUUAUGACCACUCUUUCAGUUGGUCUCUUGGCAGCUUCCAAGAGGGUUAGUCGUGUAUAAUAACUCAGGGUUUGAUUACAUUCUAAAAAACUGAUAAGGGGCUGCAAUAAAUAUUAUACUUUAUCACUUGAUAUUUA